GUUCCUGUGGGGAGGCCUAGCCCUGGACCUGUGUGCUGGGAGCAGAUCCUGGGUGGGCUGUUGUGAUACAAUGGUAGUGUCCCGCUUCUGAACCAAAUGACUCAGGGUCAAGCUCCACUUGUUCCAGAGCAGCUCUGAAAUGGAAUGCAAUUGGCUGCUAUGAAAUAGAUUCCAAGGGUAGUGCAUACUGGAAGAGGAGUUGCUCUGCAGGAACUUGUUUUACCUCUAUUUCAUCUGCCAUUAUAUAUUUCACUUGAUGUCUCAGUGGAAUACUCCAAUUACCUCUAUCCCAUCCAGGAUAAAGUACUAGUAAUUAUAUUUUCUUUCUCCGAAAUAUGUACAAUUUUUAUGUUGAAUGACGGCAAAUCUAAU